AUCUUCCUGCCUUGGCCUCCCAAAAUGCUGGGAUUACAGGAACAGUUGGCCUUUUUGGAUGAAGGUGUGAUUACUGGAAAGGAGUACUGCCAGGUGAUAAAGUAAGAAGACAAAGAUGCAGACAAUCAAAAGCAGCCACAUCAGUCUGGUGAUGGGCAAGGGAACACGUGUCAAAGCCAGCUGACCUUUACAUACAUCACGGCUAACUAGAAAACCAUUUGGUGACUUGCUAGUUCCUCGAACUUCUGGGAAAGAGAAUGGUGUUAUAGGUCCCUGCCUGGAGAAAAUUCAUUUUCCUUUCUGUUUGAUUGAAAGAUGGUAACAACCUCCCUCCCAUAUUUACAAUAAGAUCAAAAUGGCAUUUUAUUUGCCCAUCUGGAGAUCACCAAAUGCGUAAAGCUUGUCCGUGUGGAGGCCAUCUGUUGGGAAUGGAGACACACAUGGAAACUUACUCCUUGAACUUCUUUUUUAACUUUCUCUUUUGCUUGCCUGAGUAGAAGGCAAUUCAGACCUGUCACUUGUGAUACAAACUGUAGGCCAGGACACACUGCUGCCUUUUAAUGUCACAAACCCUUUCAUUUGCCCAACUGUGAAUACCUCUCUGAGAAGAUCUAAAGGGUGAAAAAAUUUUGGCACCAUCUUUCAUGACACAAAUUGAAGGUUAGAGUCAGAGCUUUCCCUAAUGGGCUAUUGCUUGGGUUGUGCUUAGAACAAGGGAAGAGUCUUGGGGAAUCAUAACCAUACUUUUUCUUUGAAAGUAUCCAUGGUCUCUCUAAGUAAUUCUGAAUG